rnacentral:rRNA from 1 species
UACGGAGGGAGCUAGCGUUAAUCGGAAUUACUGGGCGUAAAGCGUGCGCAGGCGGUUUUGUAAGUCUGAUGUGAAAUCCCCGGGCUCAACCUGGGAAUUGCAUUGGAGACUGCAAGGCUAGAAUCUGGCAGAGGGGGGUAGAAUUCCACGUGUAGCAGUGAAAUGCGUAGAGAUGUGGAGGAACACCGAUGGCGAAGGCAGCCCCCUGGGUCAAGAUUGACGCUCAUGCACGAAAGCGUGGGGAGCAAACAGG